AAUGGAAGUGUUGAGGAAGCUCUCUGAUCCUUUCAUCUAUACACAUAUACAUAGCAACUCGUACCCUUUACCAAAACUUGUAACCUAUUGAAUGCUACUUUUCUUUAACCCCUGCUUUAGGACAUCUAAGACCUUAACUAGGUUGAAAGGCUGGGUUCUGUCUCUUCUGGUCUCUUUCCAAACUUAUCCUUCUACGGAUAAGUUUUAAGAUUUCAAUAAAUAAUACAUAAUCCGUGACUUGA